UAACAUUCAAGUUCCUAUCCUGUGCUGUCU
rnacentral:piRNA from 1 species